UCAAGCUAAUAAGAGCACAGGGCGGAUGCCUUGGCACUAAGAGCCGAUGAAAGACGUGAUAAGCUGCGAAAAGCUGUGGUGAGGAGCAAAUAUCCAUUGACCCACAGAUAUCUGAAUGGGGAAACCCGGCUGGAAAAACUCCAGUCACUGUAUGGUGAAUACAUAGCCAUGCAGGGGGAACUCGGGGAACUGAAACAUCUAAGUACCCGAAGGAAGAGAAAGAAACAUCGAUUCCCGAAGUAGCGGCGAGCGAAACGGGAAGAGCCCAAACCAGAGUGCGUGCACUCUGGGGUUCGGACCGCCAUAACGGUUAUGGAAGAUAGGAGAACAGUUUUGGAAAAGCUGGCAAGAAAGAGUGAAAGCCUCGUAUCCGAAAUUGGAAGUAACUAGGCGGUAUCCAGAGUACCACGAGACACGUGGAACCUUGUGGGAAUAUGGAGGGACCACCCUCUAAGGCUAAAUACUACUUAGUGACCGAUAGCGCAUAGUACUGUGAAGGAAAGGUGAAAAGAACCCCGGGAGGGGAGUGAAAGAGAACCUGAAACCCUGUGUUUACAAGCUGUGGAACAACUAUUAACAGUUGGACCGCGUACUUUUUGUAGAACGGUCCGGCGAGUUGCGGUGUCUGGCAGGUUAAGAACUUAAGGUUCGGAGCCAUAGGGAAACCAAGUCUUAAUAGGGCGAAGGUCAGACAGUGCAGACCCGAAACCGGGUGACCUACCCAUGUCCAGGUUGAAGCCGCCGUAAAAGGCGAUGGAGGACCGAACACACAUCCGUUGAAAAGGGUGGUGAUGAGGUGUGGGUAGCGGAGAAAUUCCAAUCGAACCCGGAGAUAGCUGGUUCUCCUCGAAAUAGCUUUAGGGCUAGCCUUUAUCAAGUCUUGCGGAGGUAGAGCACUGAAUCGCCUAGGGGGCGUCAAAGCUUACCGAAGUGUAUCAAACUCCGAAUGCCGUAAAGAUGAUGAUAGGGAGUCAGACUAUACGAGAUAAGUUGGAUAGUCAAAAGGGAAAGAGCCCAGACCACCAGCUAAGGUCCCAAAGUACAUGUUAAGUGGAAAAGGAUGUGGGAUUUCAAAGACAACCAGGAUGUUGGCUUAGAAGCAGCCAUACAUUAAAAGAGUGCGUAAUAGCUCACUGGUCGAGAGGUCCUGCGCCGAAAAUGUCCGGGGCUAAAACAUGACACCGAAGCUGUGGAAUUACUUUAGUAAUUGGUAGAGGAGCAUUGCUACCGCAUCGAAGCGAUACCGGAAGGAGUCGUGGAGUGGUAGGAAGAGAGAAUGCCGGAAUGAGUAGCGAGAUAGAAGUGAGAAUCUUCUAGGCCGAAUAUCCAAGGUUUCCAGAGUAAAGCUGAUCUGCUCUGGGGAAGUCGGGACCUAAGGCGAGGACGAAAGUCGUAGUCGAUGGACAACAGGUUGAUAUUCCUGUACCACAUGAUAUCAGAACUGUGGGGACGCAAAGAGAGAAUGGAAGAGCCGGGAAUGGAAAAACCGGUGCAAGUAAGGUAUCCGUCAUGUAGGCAAAUCCGCAUGGCAAGGAGAAUUUACGACGCGGAGUGAACAUAAGUAACGAAGCUUCCUAUCUAGUUGCCGAGAAAAGCCGCUAUUGUGUAUCAUGUGCCCGUACCGUAAACCGACACAGGUGGAUGAGGAGAGAAUCCUAAGGCCGGCGGGAGAAGUGUUGUUAAGGAACUCGGCAAAAUGACCCCGUAACUUCGGGAGAAGGGGUGCCUCGAAAGAGGCCGCAGAGAAUUGGCCCAAGCAACUGUUUAGCAAAAACACAGGUCUAUGCAAAACCGCAAGGUGAAGUAUAUGGGCUGACGCCUGCCCGGUGCUGGAAGGUUAAGGGGAGUGCUUAGCGUAAGCGAAGGUGCGAACUUAAGCCCCAGUAAACGGCGGCCGUAACUAUAACGGUCCUAAGGUAGCGAAAUUCCUUGUCGGGUAAGUUCCGACCCGCACGAAAGGCGUAAUGAUUUGGGCACUGUCUCAACAACACACCCG
rnacentral:rRNA from 1 species